rnacentral:misc_RNA from 1 species
CUAUGCGUCUCAAGGUGGAGGGUCUUGAUCAAGGACACGGAAGAGGAAUUCAUGUCAAUGUAAACAAAGAGGUUGAGAAAAAAGGUUUUAAAAACCGAACCAAGAUAUGGGCUAUUGUUAAUGUCCUUAAAAAUAGUGGAGUUAAAGUUAUUUUGGACGAUGAUGAUGACAACACAUCUAGAACAAAAUUUCCAUAAACCUUUUCCC